AGCCUCCCUGGGAGCUGCAACUGGCUGGG
rnacentral:piRNA from 1 species